rnacentral:tRNA from 1 species
AGCCAAUGAGCUUGAAUAAGCAUAUGUUUUGAAAACAUAAGAUAGAAAUUUAUCUUUCUAUUGGCUU